AGCAGCCGCGGUAAUUCCAGCUCCAAUAGCGUAUAUUAAAGUUGUUGCAGUUAAAAAGCUCGUAGUUGAAUUUCGGGAUUGACGUGACGGUCGUGCCUUAAGGGGUAUGAACUGUCGCAGUUGAUUUCUCACCUUCUGGAGAAGCAUGAUGUCCUUAAUUGGGUGUCAUGUGGAACCAGGACCUUUACCUUGAAAAAAUUAGAGUGUUUAAAGCAGGCAUUUUGCUCGAAUACAUUAGCAUGGAAUAAUAGAAUAGGACGGCAUGGUUCUAUUUUGUUGGUUUCUAGGAUCACCGUAAUGAUUAAUAGGGAUAGUUGGGGGCAUUAGUAUUCAAUUGUCAGAGGUGAAAUUCUUGGAUUUAUUGAAGACUAACUACUGCGAAAGCAUUUGCCAAGGAUGUUUUCAUUAAUCAAGAACGAAAGUUAGGGGAUCGAAGACGAUCAGAUACCGUCGUAGUCUUAACCAUAAACUAUGCCGACUAGGAAUCAGACGAUGUUAAUUUUUAAUGACUCGUUUG
rnacentral:rRNA from 1 species